rnacentral:rRNA from 1 species
AUUGAACGCUGGCGGCAGGCCUAACACAUGCAAGUCGAACGGAGUGGCGGACGUGUGAGUAAUGUCUGGGAAACUGCCUGAUGGAGGGGGUUCACUACUGGACACGGUAGCUAAUUCCGCAUACUAUCAGAUGAGCCUGGGUCGGAUGAGCUAGUUGGUGGGGUAAAGGCCUACCAAGGCGACGAUCCGUAACUGGUCUGAGAGGAUGAUCAGUCACACUGGAACUGAGACACGGUCCAGACUCCUACGGGAGGCAGCAGUGGGGAAUAUUGGACAAUGGGCGAAAGCCUGAUCCAGCCAUGCCGCGUGUGUGAAGAAGGUCUUCGGAUUGUAAAGCACUUGAAGUUGGGAGGCGUUACCAACAGAAUAAGCACCGGCUAACUUCGUGCCAGCCGCCGCGGUAAUAC